UACGGGGGGAGCAAGCGUUGUUCGGAUUUACUGGGCGUAAAGGCGCGUAGGCGGCCAGCACAAGUCAGUUGUGAAAUCUCCGAGCUUAACUCGGAAAGGUCAACUGAUACUGUGCGGCUAGAGUGCGGAAGGGGCAACUGGAAUUCUUGGUGUAGCGGUGAAAUGCGUAGAUAUCAAGAGGAACACCUGCGGCGAAGGCGGGUUGCUGGGCCGACACUGACGCUGAGGCGCGAAAGCUAGGGGAGCGAACGGG
rnacentral:rRNA from 1 species